rnacentral:rRNA from 1 species
UACCGAGGUCCCGAGCGUUGUUCGGAUUCACUGGGCGUAAAGGGUGCGUAGGUGGCGUGGCAAGUUUGAUGUGAAAGCUCAGGGCUUAACCCUGAAAUGGCAUUGAAUACUGCUGUGCUGGAGGUUUGGAGGGGGGACUGGAAUUCUUGGUGUAGCAGUGAAAUGCGUAGAUAUCAAGAGGAACACCAGUGGCGAAGGCGAGUCCCUGGGCAGCACCUGACACUGAGGCACGAAAGCUAGGGGAGCAAACAGG